UUACUGCAUUUAAUGUUUUGGGAUAUUGGAACUGACACAGGUAUGGAAUUCUCAGCUAUGAUUUUUUUUUCCCUGCAGGGCAGCAUUUCAAGUUUCCCUGUAAAUCAGAGUUUGUGGUCUUGUUAUGGACCAUAUCCUAUGGACUGGCUCCAUUGGUAUUUGUGGAUCUAAAACAUUUGAUUUGGACCUUAAAUGAGUCACAUGAGUGUCACUGUUGGACACGAAAUGAGUCACACGGAUGCAGUUCGAGGUUUUUAAUCCAGGCUUCUGCUGGAAUGCAAAGUUCCUCGUUCAAGAUCAAUUAUACAAGGACAUCAAGAAGAAAAAGACAGUCACGGUAUUUAUCUGCUUCUCAAACUACCCAAGAUGUGAAACUGGUUUUGCUUGCAGUGACAUGCCUGAUAAUGCAAUGUAAUACUUUCUUAUUACAACCCUUUGCUUGCAGUUAAAAGUUAAAAUAAAAAAACUGUUUCUGAAACACAGCAUAUU